rnacentral:rRNA from 1 species
GUAACCUGCCUGGUAGCGGGGGAUAACUAUUGGAAACGAUAGCUAAUACCGCAUAACAGUAGAUAUUGCAUGAUAUCUGCUUGAAAGGGGCAAUUGCUCCACUACCAGAUGGACCUGCGUUGUAUUAGCUAGUUGGUGAGGUAACGGCUCACCAAGGCGACGAUACAUAGCCGACCUGAGAGGGUGAUCGGCCACACUGGGACUGAGACACGGCCCAGACUCCUACGGGAGGCAGCAGUAGGGAAUCUUCGGCAAUGGACGGAAGUCUGACCGAGCAACGCCGCGUGAGUGAAGAAGGUUUUCGGAUCCGUAAAGCUCUGUUGUAAGAGAAGAACGAGUGUGAGAGUGGCAAGUUCACACUGUGACGGUAUCUUACCAGAAAGGGACGGCUAACUACGUGCCAGCAGCCGCGGUAAUACGUAGGUCCCGAGCGUUAUCCGGAUUUAUUGGGCGUAAAGCGAGCGCAGGCGGUUAGAUAAGUCUGAAGUUAAAGGCUGUGGCUUAACCAUAGUACGCUUUGGAAACUGU